UACAGAGGGGGCCAGCGUUAUUCGGAAUUAUUGGGCGUAAAGGGCGCGUAGGCGGCCAUGCGUGUCUUCCGUGAAAUCCCUCGGCUUAACCGAGGACGUGCGGAAGAAACUGCAAGGCUCGAGUCCGGAAGAGGGGGGCGGAAUUCCCAGUGUAGCGGUGAAAUGCGUAGAUAUUGGGAGGAACACCAGUGGCGAAGGCGGUCCCCUGGGCCGGAACUGACGCUGAUGCGCGAAAAGCGUGGGUAGCAAACGGG
rnacentral:rRNA from 1 species